GCCGUCCUUCUUGCCGCACACGGGCGCGAGCAUCUUGUUGCACGCGCACACGCCAGUCGGCAACUGCUGCUCAGUCUCCUCGCCGGACUCGCCGUCUCCGCUGCCGCUGCCACCGCCGCUGCUGCUGCCGCAGGCGCCCUUGCGGAAACUCACGCCGGUGCAGGAGGCAAGGCACUCAUUGGGGUACUCCACGCCGUCGUUGCCGCACACGAGGUCGGCCUUGGCAACCUCGGGAUCAUCGGAAGGCGCGGGGCAGGUGACGGCGGCGCAGCCGCUGGCGUCGGCGCAGCGGCCCUCGUAGGCGACAGAGGCGCCGUCACACGUAGCCAUGCACUCAUUGGAGUAAGUGGUGAGUCUGCCGUCCUUCUUGCCGCACACGGGCGCGAGCAUCUUGUUGCACGCGCACACGCCAGUCGGCAACUGCUGCUCAGUCUCCUCGCCGGACUCGCCGUCUCCGCUGCCGCUGCCACCGCCGCUGCUGCUGCCGCCGCAGGCGCCCUUGCGGAAAGUCACACCAGUGCAGGAGGCGAGGCACUCAUUGGGGUACUCCACGUCGUCGUUGCCGCACACGAGGUCGGCCUUAGGAUCAUCGGAAGGCGCCGGGCAGGUGACGGCGGCGCAGCCGCUGGCGUCGGCGCAGGCGCCCUGGUACUUGACCCGGGCGCCGUCACACCUGGCCGUACAGGCGUUGGAGUAAGUUGACAGCUUGCCGUUCUUCUUGGCACACACGGGCGCGUAGAUGAACGGGCAUACGCAGUCGGCCGGCUGCUCGCCG
rnacentral:lncRNA from 1 species